CUUGCUAUCAGGCGUCGAGCGGCGGACGGGUGAGUAAUACUUAGGAAUCUACCUAGUAGUGGGGGAUAGCACGGGGAAACUCGUAUUAAUACCGCAUACGACCUACGGGAGAAAGGGGGCAGUUUACUGCUCUCGCUAUUAGAUGAGCCUAAGUCGGAUUAGCUAGAUGGUGGGGUAAAGGCCUACCAUGGCGACGAUCUGUAGCUGGUCUGAGAGGAUGAUCAGCCACACCGGGACUGAGACACGGCCCGGACUCCUACGGGAGGCAGCAGUGGGGAAUAUUGGACAAUGGGGGAAACCCUGAUCCAGCCAUGCCGCGUGUGUGAAGAAGGCCUUUUGGUUGUAAAGCACUUUAAGCAGUGAAGAAGACUCCGUGGUUAAUACCCACGGACGAUGACAUUAGCUGCAGAAUAAGCACCGGCUAACUCUGUGCCAGCAGCCGCGGUAAUACAGAGGGUGCAAGCGUUAAUCGGAAUUACUGGGCGUAAAGGGAGCGUAGGUGGCUCGAUAAGUCAGAUGUGAAAUCCCCGGGCUCAACCUGGGAACUGCAUCUGAUACUGUUGAGCUAGAGU
rnacentral:rRNA from 1 species